rnacentral:rRNA from 1 species
GCUCCAAUAGCGUAUAUUAAAGUUGUUGCAGUUAAAAAGCUCGUAGUUGGAUUUCUGGUGGGAGGGAACCGUCCGAUCUCAGAUUGGUGCGUGUUCCUCUCCGGCCAUCCUUGAGUCUAACCUCCUUGGCAUUAAGUUGUCGAGGUGGGGAUACUCAUCGUUUACUGUGAAAAAUAUGAGUAGUUCUAAAGCAGGCUUAU